CAUCAGGUGGCUGAAAGUAAGUUUUGGUCUCUUAAACCACCUAAUAGUAAGUAACGCCUACUCCUGAUGG
rnacentral:tRNA from 1 species